CCUAGUUAAUUCUACUAGUAGUUAUAUACUUAUCUUAAAGAUUAAGCCAUGUAUAUCUAAGUAUAAGCAAUUAUACUGUAAAACUGCAAAUAGCUUAUUAAAUUAGUUAUUAUUUAUUUAAUAGUACCUUACUACUUAGAUAACUAUAGUAAUUCUAGAGCUAAUACAUGCUAAAAACCCUAACUUUAGAAGGGGUGUAUUUAUUAGAUAAAAAACUAACGCCCUUUAGGGCUUCUUAGUAAUUUAUAAUAACUUUACAGAUCGCAUAGCCUUACGCUAGCGAUAGUUCAUUUAAAUUUCUGCCCUAUUAACUUUUAAUAGUAAGGUAUUAGCUUACCAUAGUUUUAAUAGGUAACGGGGAAUUAGGGUUUAAUUCUAGAGAGGGAGCCUAAGAAAUAGCUACUAUAUCUAAGGAAGGUAGCAGGCGCGCAAAUUACCUAAUCCUAACAUAGGGAGGUAGUAACAAUAAAUACUAAUACAGGGCUCUUUUAGGUCUUAUAAUUAGAAUAAGUAUAAUUUAAACCUCUUAAUAAGGAACAAUUAGAGAGCAAGUCUAGUGCUAGUAGCUACAGUAAUUCUAGCUCUAAUAGCGUAUAUUAAACUUAUUGCAGUUAAAAAGCUUGUAGUUAAAACUUAGGUCUAGCUAGCAGGUCUACCUUACCGCGUGUACUUAUCUAGCUAGGCCUUCCUUCUAGAGAACCUUAUGCCCUUUACUAGGCGUGUUAGGGACUAGGACUUUUACUUUAAAAAAAUUAGAGUGUUUAAAGUAGGCCUUUGCUUAAAUAUAUUAGUAUAGAAUAAUAGAAUAGGACGUAUAGUCCUAUUUUGUUAGUUUCUAGGACUACUAUAAUAAUUAAUAGGGAUAGUUAGGGGCAUUAGUAUUUAAUUAUUAGAGGUAAAAUUCUUAGAUUUAUUAAAGACUAACUACUACGAAAGUAUUUACUAAGGAUAUUUUUAUUAAUUAGUAAAUAAAAGUUAGGGGAUUAAAGAUAAUUAGAUACUAUCCUCCCUAGGGAGGCAAUGCAUAUGCUAGUGCAUUAUUAACAAACAACUUCUAUAGUUACUAUAAAAAGUGCACUAUAUUUUAGGGAGUCUAAGGCUGCUUCUACAAGUUAGUAGGUACAAUACUAACGCAGAGGGGAGGAGUAACGCUAGAAGUAUAUAUAUUUAUAUAAAGCUAUUAACUAUAAGGUAUAAUAUAGUUAAUAGUUAUUAUAU
rnacentral:rRNA from 1 species